GGAGGGUGCGAGCGUUAAUCGGAUUUACUGGGCGUAAAGCGUGCGUAGGCGGCUUUUUAAGUCGGAUGUGAAAUCCCUGAGCUUAACUUAGGAAUUGCAUUCGGUACUGGGAAGCUAGAGUAUGGGAGAGGAUGGUAGAAUUCCAGGUGUAGCGGUGAAAUGCGUAGAGAUCUGGAGGAAUACCGAUGGCGAAGGCAGCCAUCUGGCCUAAUACUGACGCUGAGGUACGAAAGCAUGGGGGGAGCAAACAGGAUUAGAUGCCCUGGUAGUCCAUGCCCGUAAACGAUGUCUACUAGCCGUUGGGGCCCUUUGAGGCUUUAGUGGCGCAGCUAGCGCGAUAAGUAGACCGCCUGGGGAGUACGGUCGCAAGACUA
rnacentral:rRNA from 1 species